rnacentral:rRNA from 1 species
GAUGAACGCUGGCGGCGUGCCUAACACACGCAAGUCGAACGAAGCACCUUACCUGAUUCUUCGUCUGAAAGUUUGGUGACUGAGUGGCGGACGGGUGAGUAACGCGUGGGUAACCUGCCCUGUACAGGGGGAUAACAGCUGGAAACGGCUGCUAAUACCGCAUAAGCGCACGAGGAGACAUCUCCUUGUGUGAAAAACUCCGGUGGUACAGGAUGGGCCCGCGUCUGAUUAGCUGGUUGGCAGGGUAACGGCCUACCAAGGCAACGAUCAGUAGCCGGUCUGAGAGGAUGAACGGACACAUUGGAACUGAGACACGGUCCAAACUCCUACGGGAGGCAGCAGUGGGGAAUAUUGCACAAUGGGGGAAACCCUGAUGCAGCAACGCCGCGUGAGUGAAGAAGUAUUUCGGUAUGUAAAGCUCUAUCAGCAGGGAAGAUAAUGACGGUACCUGAAUAAGAAGCUCCGGCUAAAUACGUG